GUGUGUGUACCCGUGUGCGCGCGUGCGCGCGACCCGCUCACGCGCGCGUGUGUAUGUACAGUAUGUGCGUGAGUUUUUAAUUUAAAAUGUCUUAACUUAACUCGGAAGGAUCUGAAUCACAGGUCAUUUCAUCUGAGAUCAUUCCGCAUGUAACAGCCGGAAUCACUCACUGUUUCCCACAACGACACGAGUCAUCAGCCGUUUCCUCAAGGUCACGUCAGAGGGGUGGUGAUGUGGAGAGGCAGACCAGACCACCACCAUACGCGAAGAUGAGCCUCGAGGCGUGACAGUUAUUUUUUCAAACUGAGGAGUUCGGACUCCGGACCGUCAUUUCUGCUUGUUUGUACCCUGAGGUAAGUAAACUUUCUACAUUUUUGAAACGAUAUUACUGAAAUAUUUAGUAUAAUUAGUUAAUAUUUAUUUUGUUAGAGUAGGUCUUGUGCUAAAUAGUGAUACUAGAAGCUACAUUUAUAAUAUUUACCUCAGUUAAAAAAUACUGCUGGUAACGUUAAAGCACUGACGGGCUUCGUCAACCGUCAGUUAUAAAAGCUCUGUUAAAUACAUUUUGUUCCUGGUUUUAAUGAAUUACGUUACAGUCCUGCUUUAUUUCUUUGUCAUUUUCAAUUAAAUUGCCAAGCACAAUAAGACAGCUGUGUUGUAAGGAGACGAAAUUCGAGACAGUGGUGUUAUUUCAAUGAAGCGCGUGGUCAAAGGAACCGGGUGGAAGACGGUGGAAGGGAAAUUAUAUGUAAAUGUUUGUCGCAGUUUUACACAUAUUCCAUAACCAUGGUUAAUAAAUGGUCAGACACGUCACUGGCUUUAAAAUAUAAACCCCAUUGAUGCAAAAAGAUGCUGCAUGGAAUGACAAUGUGGUUUGGAACAGACUUGGUGAAGAACAUGGAAACAUCUCUUAAUAAAAUGGCCCCAAACAUCAUCAGGAGUGCAAAAGAAGGAAGUAAAAACAUCUCUACGCCAAUCUCAUUGGAGAGGAAACCACAGAAGGUCUGGUGAGGAAUGCUGCACUUAUGUUAUUGCAAGCAUUAUUUCAAGAAAAUCCCAGCUUCCUUUACUGUGUAAAUAGUGAACCCAAAGGUCCCACACCAACCAUAGUGUUCAACGGCUCUCCUGAUCUUUUCAAAUCUGAAUGUAUCAACUUUAUAAUGGACAAUGUGAACUUAAUAUGUGGAAGACAUUGACAUCACAGGCUGUGGAAUGACUGUGUCACAGGUCGGAGAAGCGGACCGCCCCUGUCGCGGAUCACGCUCCUCCUAGUUCCACCUCGAGGAGGUCCCAAAGCACCCCAAUGACCAGACAAACCAGAGGGGGAGUAUUACGGGGCCAUGGACGUUGGAGGGGUUUCCACGUGACUCCAGCUGGAACACCGCUACAGAGCGUAUCUGGGUGGGUUGGGCACACACCGUCGCGGCGGCCCCUGAUGGCAUCCACAAGGGUCCAAGACCCUCCUAAGCUCCUAGCCGUAGCAGAACUACGUAUUUCAGCACCCGAACGACUAACAACCCAGCCGGCAUCUGCAGCGUAUAUCCAACGCGAUCAAACUUCACUCUGACAAGUAACUUCCUAUACACAACCACGCCGUCCUUUCACCCGGACCAGCCCCGCACUCUUUCCGCCCGCUACCUAGCGGUCGCCGGAUCAGCAGAGCCUGCGGACUCUUCGGAGGCUGGUCUUCGUUGUGCUGCCCAAGGCGGAAGUUGACUCGCCCGAAAAUCGACCCUUCCAGUAACUUCUACCUUCUCUCUUUAUAUCCUCCUCCCAGGCGUGGCUCGCCCAACCAUCGCUCGCCACGUCACUCACACAGCUGUGCCUUGUUUCAGCGAGUGCGGGGAUUCCCGGGGAACCCUGAAGUGCCGGUGUCUGUACAAACCGGUCCGGGCGGUACCUCUUCACUCUCCUUUUGGUUCCGCCCCGCAUAGUCACUCCGUGACAACUGUUUGCGUUUUUUUUUUUCUUCAAUGUUCAAUACCCUUUUGCCAUUAAGCACACAGUGACUUUAAUUUAUAAAAUAUAUGCUUAAGUUUUAAUACCUGUACAAAACAAAUGUACAAUCAACUUGUGUAAAUUGUCAUUCUAUUUAAUAGAUUGUUCAUGAAUUGUCUUUAAAUGCAUUGUGAUUUCGGUAACACUUUACAAUAAAGUUCAUUAGUUAACAUUAGUUAAUGUAUUAACUAACUUGAACAAACCAUAAGCAAUACAUUUGUUACAGUAUUUAUUC